rnacentral:rRNA from 1 species
UACGGGGGGAGCAAGCGUUGUUCGGAUUUACUGGGCGUAAAGGGCGCGUAGGCGGCCACCGCAAGUCGACUGUGAAAUCUCCGGGCUUAACCCGGAAAGGUCAGCCGAUACUGCGGGGCUAGAGUGCAGAAGGGGCAACUGGAAUUCUCGGUGUAGCGGUGAAAUGCGUAGAUAUCGAGAGGAACACCUGCGGCGAAGGCGGGUUGCUGGGCUGACACUGACGCUGAUGUGCGAAAGCGUGGGGAGCAAACCGG